AGACUGAAGCCUGUACUUCCAGUCCAAUCCAGCUGGCUGCCUCUUUCUACAAACAGCUGGGGCAUCUCCCACCUCAAUGAAGGGAACUGUCAGCCUGGCUGCAGUGGCCCAUGCUCAGAGCUUGCUGCCCCACUACUGUAUCACACAUAAAGAGCCUCCGACCAUCGAGAAGUGGUACUAGACCAAUUCACACUCAUCUGGUUUCUUAGUUCAACACCUUCUUUGUUAUAUCACAGUACCAAAGACAUGUGGAUAUGACAAAAUUUAAUAGAGAUCGGUAUUUCUUGAAAGUUGGCAGCAAACACCACUACCAUGAAGAUUAGCCCGUCUCUUCCUAGGCCAAGGGAGAAGAGAAAUAAAGAUCUGGCUGCAGCAGACUGUGAACAGGAAGCCCCCCACUACAGAUAGUUCUCUUUGACACAUAGCCGUGCCUUUGUUCUGAAGUGAAGCUUGUUCUACCAGAAGAGGCCAAUAUCCUCUCUCCCUACGCAAUCUUCUGAGCUGAAAAGAAAUCACAGGAAGAAAGCCUUCAAUAGACUCCCAAUGUAGCAGCAUGUACACUGUGUGUUAGUAGGUCUGUGUAAGUAUACCUGCUGCCCCUCAGAAAAGACUGGAUCCAUUCUUAAGUGCUCUGCUUCUCCAUAUGAGGUGGCCACUGGGAACAUCAAGGAGUGGCUAUAACAUUAUGUCAUCUCCUGUUUCAUUUUUCCCUUUAGUACUGCGAUAGGAGCAUGGUAUGGCCUAUUCAAGCCAAAUGAUUCAAAAAAAACAAACAAACAAACAAAAAAAAAACCCAGAGAUUUUUAACUGUGUUCUAUUCUUUUCCUGGAUUGAGUAUCCCACAGUAUCAUUUCAAUCUUUUCCUCUUGAUCGGAUUCUUUUGGAGGAUAUCUCGUAGACAACAAAAUCAGUACUAUCAAUAGUGAGAAUACUACCAGUGUUAGGCUAGGAGUUAGUAGAUGGGGGACAAGAAUUAAAUCCAGCCUGUUUUUGGUUGGCAAAUAAAGUAUUACAGAAAAACAUUCUUCUGUUCACAUGUGUUGUUUGUGGCUGCUUUCAUGCCACAUAAGCUGAGUGGAGUAGAUACAACAGAAACAAGCUAAUCUGCAAA